rnacentral:rRNA from 1 species
UACGUAGGUGGCAAGCGUUGUCCGGAUUUACUGGGCGUAAAGGAUGCGUAGGCGGACAUUUAAGUCAGAUGUGAAAUACCCGAGCUCAACUUGGGUGCUGCAUUUGAAACUGGGUGUCUAGAGUGCAGGAGAGGAAAGCGGAAUUCUUAGUGUAGCGGUGAAAUGCGUAGAGAUUAGGAAGAACACCAGUGGCGAAGGCGGCUUUCUGGACUGUAACUGACGCUGAGGCAUGAAAGCGUGGGGAGCAAACAGG